CUACGGGGCGCAGCAGUGGGGAAUAUUGCACAAUGGGCACAAGCCUGAUGCAGCCAUGCCGCGUGUAUGAAGAAGGCCUUCGGGUUGUAAAGUACUUUCAGCGGGGAGGAAGGGAGUAAAGUUAAUACCUUUGCUCAUUGACGUUACCCGCAGAAGAAGCACCGGCUAACUCCGUGCCAGCAGCCAGCGGUAAUACGGAGGGUGCAAGCGUUAAUCGGAAUUACUGGGCGUAAAGCGCACGCAGGCGGUUUGUUAAGUCAGAUGUGAAAUCCCCGGGCUCAACCUGGGAACUGCAUCUGAUACUGGCAAGCUUGAGUCUCGUAGAGGGGGGUAGAAUUCCAGGUGUAGCGGUGACAUGCGUAGAGAUCUGGAGGAAUACCGGUGGCGAAGGCGGCCCCCUGGACGAAGACUGACGCUCAGGUGCGAAAGCGUGGGGAGCAAACAGGAUUAGAUACCCGAGUAGUC
rnacentral:rRNA from 1 species